GGCGUGCCCUGAGAGAUUCGAACUCCCGACCUUUUGAUUCGUAGUCAAACGCUCUAUCCGGCUGAGCUAAGGGCACACAUUGUUGUUGGGGGUCCCCGAAAACCCUUUUUACGUUUGGGGAUAAAGUAACUGGUGAGCCAUGAAGGACUCGAACCUUCGACCCUCUGAUUAAAAGUCAGAUGCUCUACCAACUGAGCUAAUGGCUGUGGCUAGCGGUGAAAUUCCAAUCGAACUCGGAGAUAGCUGGUUCUCCCCGAAAUAGCUUUAGGGCUAGCCUCGGAUGGGACCCCACUGGACGCGAGCGCAAGCUUGUGUCCGGUGGGUCCAGUGAGAGUCUUGGAGGUAGAGCACUGAUUGGGCUAGGGGCCCUCAUCGGGUUACCGAACUCAGUCAAACUCCGAAUGC
rnacentral:rRNA from 1 species